AUUGAACGCUGGCGGCAGGCCUAACACAUGCAAGUCGAACGAGUGGCGGACGGGUGAGUAAUGUCUGGGAAACUGCCCGAUGGAGGGGGAUAACUACUGGAAACGGUAGCUAAUACCGCAUACCCUCGGAUGUGCCCAGAUGGGAUUAUCUAGUAGGUGGGGUAAUGGCUCACCUAGGCGACGAUCCCUAGCUGGUCUGAGAGGAUGACCAGCCACACUGGACCGGAGACACGGUCCAGACUCCUACGGGAGGCCGCAGUGGGGAAGAUUGCACAAUGGGCGCAAUCCUGAUGCAGCCAUGCCGCGUGUAUGAAGAAGGCCGUCGGGUUGUAAAGUACUUUCAGCGAGGAGGCGUUACUCGCAGAAGAAGCACCGGCUAACUCCGGGCCAGCAGCCGCGGUAAUAC
rnacentral:rRNA from 1 species